rnacentral:rRNA from 1 species
CGAACAGACCUAAAUUAUUUAGCUUCUACACCAAAUUUAUAUUUUAAUCCAACAUCGARGUCGCAAUCUCUUUUUUCGAUUAGAACUCUCAAAAAAAAUUACGCUGUUAUCCCUAARGUAAUUUAAUCUUUUAAUCUUCUAUAARGAUCAUUUACCCAUAAAUAAAUGUAAUCAAUAAAAAAAAGUUCAUUAAAUUUUUCAAUCACCCCAACUAAAUUAAUAUUCCUAUUAAAAAAUUUUAAUACUAAAAUUUUUAUCAAAAAUAAUUAAUAAAACUCUAUAGGGUCUUCUCGUCUUUAAUUAAUAUUUAAGCUUUUUAACUUAAAAAUAAAUUUCAAUAAAAUUUAAACAGAGACAGUUAUUUUUUCAUCCAACCUUUCAUACCAGCUUUCAAUUAAAAAACUAUUGAUUAUGCUACCUUUGCACGGUCAAAAUACCGCGGCCAUUUAAAUACUCAUUGGGCAGGUAARACCUUAAAUUAUUAUCAAAAG